UACGGAGGGUGCAAGCGUUAUCCGGAUUCACUGGGUUUAAAGGGUGCGUAGGAGGGCAGGUAAGUCAGUGGUGAAAUCUCCGAGCUUAACUUGGAAACUGCCGUUGAUACUAUCUGUCUUGAAUACCGUGGAGAUGAGCGGAAUAUGUCAUGUAGCGGUGAAAUGCUUAGAUAUGACAUAGAACACCAAUUGCGAAGGCAGCUGGCUACACAAAUAUUGACACUGAGGCACGAAAGCGUGGGGAGCAAACAGG
rnacentral:rRNA from 1 species